rnacentral:lncRNA from 1 species
CACCCCACCUGCAGUCUUCACCACCUCGCCGGCGGCCACGGGGGCUAAAAACGAUAAGAGAGACGGUGGGGGGUGCAUUUUGUGGGCAUCUGACUCUUCCAGGGCUGGGCGGAGCCAAGGACACUGGGCUUGGAGUCAUUCGGGCUGGAUGGGGCUGAACCCGCCCAUGUCUAUGGCCUGCUGAGUCCUGUCCUCUUGCAGAGCUCUUUUCGUCAUCUGCGCAAUGGCAGGAAUGAGACGGAAACCAGUGAAGCGUUCCUCGCAGGGCCUGGACUUAUCUUGGAUAACAUUUGCAGUGACCUUAUGAGGUAAGGAUGGCCACUUGGAACCCUUGAAGCUGUGAGUCCCCUUGACUUCCUCCCAGGCACUGCCCUCCCAGAAGUGAAGGUACCAGGAGGCAGAGGAAACAGUAGCACCACGGUGCCAUCCUGGAUCCAACGGAGCAGACAGCACGAAAAUCCAACACGCCCCUCACCGGAGGACUGGGAGGCUCCCGCGUUUUGGAUUCUGAAAAGCACUCCCUCGUUCACGUCUGCCUGGAUUCGCGCCCUCAAGCCCCCUGGCGCCCACUUUUCUUGCUCUCCAAACACUCGUUGAGGCCCGAGAGGGAGAUGCGAAGUUUGCCCACCACUGCGCGUCCCUCCUCCGCGAGGCGCCAAUGGGCCUGAGUCAGGGGCCUCCCCUUCAUCCGCUGGUCCCUCCCCUGUUCCCAGCUCCAGUUCCUCACCCGCUAUGGCUGGCCUGGCGCCUGUGGCCGUUCACCGUCUGCGAGGCAUCUGCGGGGACUGAAGUCGGGGAGGCAGCGGCGGGCUCUGGCAGAUACCAGGAGAUCCCGCCCCUCGGCCCGGGAGACCCCGCCCCUCGGCCACGCCCCUUUCCGCUCCCCACCCCGCCCUCUUGGGCCCCCCACCCGGCCCAGCCAGACAGAGACCUGCCUCCAGGUGGGUGGGAGGAGACCUUCAGUCCCUCGCCCCGGGCCUGUUGUCACUACCUCCCCCAAACACAUUGGUUAAAGUCACCCGAUUAGAAGGGGCCACCUGUGAGACUUGGAUCCAAAGCAAACUAGCGGAAGCUGAAGGGUCUUGGGGCUUCCCAGGCCUCUCGGAGGCCGGGAUGGUCGUGGAGGAGGGAGCGCUCAGUGCCUGGCCUACUGCCUGCCCUGAGCCGGCUCCCUACAGGACGCUUCUCCUGUACCUUCCACCUGCUGCGAGGAAGGGCUGGGGGCAGGCGUACCCAUUUUCCAGAGGAGAACUGAAGGCUCUCACCCCGGGUUAGGCCAGUGGCCGGAGGCAGAGCCGGGCCUUGAACCUGGCUUUCUGGAUCUUCAUCCAGGCCAUUCUAAAGAUGAUCUGUGACAUGCCUGGCCUGGAGCCUGGCACACAGCAGGUGCUCAGUAAAUACAUAUUUGGCCGGGCGCGAUGACUCACGUCUGUAACCCCAUCACUUUGGGAGGCCGAGGUGGAUGGAUCACCUGAGGUCACGUGUUUGAGACCAUCCUGGCCAACAUGGCGGAACCCUGUCUCUACUAAAAAUACAAAAAUUAGCUGGUUGUGGUGGCGCGUGCCUGUAAUCCCAGCUGCUGGGGAGGCUGAGGCAGGAGAACCUGGGAGGCGGAGGUUGCAGUGAGCCAAGAUCAUGCCAUCACACUCCAGCCUGGGUGACAGAACAAGGCUCAGUCUCAAAAUGAAUACAUACAUACAUACCUAUUUGUAUUAGGAGGAGAAAACCAAGAACCAGAGAAGAGAAGAGAAGGGAAGGGACCUGUGGCCACAUAGCAAGGCCAUGGCACAGCCGAAGUCUCCUCUGCUUUCCUCAUGCAGCCCCGUCCAACCCAUCUCUUUCAUCUCUUUUCUUAAAACUUAAAAAUAUUUUCAGGGGGGUGUGGUGGCUCAUGCCUAUAAUCCCAGCAAUUUGGGAGGAUGAGAUGGGAGGAUUGCUUGAGCCCGGGAGUUUGAGGCUGCAGUGAGCCACUGUAGUCCAGCCGGGGUGACACAGCCAGACUCCAUCUUUUUCUCUGUAUAUUUUUUCACCUCUACCUGAUGUGACUGAGUAACUGCUGGGGUACAUCACCUCUUUCAGGUGAUGGAAAUGUUCUAAAGUUGAUUAUGCUGAUGGUUGGUUGCCCAGCUGUGAAUGCAGUAAAAACAUUGAGCCGUACACUUUAAAUGGACAAGUUAUGUGUGAAUUAUAUCUCAAUAAAGCUCUGUGCCCCACCCAAAUCUCCUGUCAAACUGUGAUUCAUAGCGUUGGAAGUGGGGCCGGGUGGAAGGUGACUAGAUCAUGGGGGCGGAUCCUUCAUAAAUGAU